rnacentral:tRNA from 1 species
UACCAGGUGGCUCAGUGGUAAAGAAUCUGCCUGCCAAGCGGGAGACAUGGGUUUGAUCCCUGGCCUGGGAA